UGUGGCACUAAGUCAUGGGCCUUGCGGCACUUAGUCAUGGGGCCUAUGAGGUUAAUUACUACAAAGUAGUAACUUGCACACACACUUGCAGUCGCAUGGGCAAUAGGGCGUACUUUACGUCACAACUCACACAGGUGCUACAUGUCCUUCUUCAGCAUGUGUUGCUAAAUGCGAGGUUAAAUCCGCUAACAUGCGCAAGCCUUGCAGCCAACUUGACGUGGCUGUUUGCAGCCCAUAUGACUGCAGACCAGGGCCAAGAAAGGACACCAUGACCCCCAUGCGGUGGGCUGACUUUGUGCUGCUAAGGCUAGUGCAAUGCAACGCUUUUGCAUUGGGCCGCAAUGCCCGCAGUAGCUACUUGCCAAUACUAGCCUGUUGAAUUAGUGGCUGCAAUUGCCACUACAAAUUAGGAAUUGCAAGUAAUCGUAGUGUAGCGCGCUACGGUGAACACCCCAUUCAAAAUGUACUAAUUACCCGUCACGUCGGCAAAGGCUACCUAGUAGUAAAACUUGGCAGGCGUCAUUAGGCUGCAGUGGCCACUUGCAAGGCCACAUGGCUUGCAAAGUCGCAUUUUUAAGUAGCCCAAGGCUACGCAAUGCCUUGCUGCAGCUUGGCGCAAGCUUUGCUAAUUACUAGCGCCAAUGUGGACGAAGUCGUAAUAAAGGAGUGGUACGGGAACGUGCUGCUG
rnacentral:ncRNA from 1 species